rnacentral:tRNA from 1 species
GGGGGAGUGCCCGAGUGGCUAAAGGGGGCGGACUGUAAAUCCGUUGGCUCAGCCUACAAUGGUUCGAAUCCAUUCUCCCCCACCA